CGGUAAACAGAGGGAAGCGAGCCUGCGAGGGGAGCGAAUCCCAAAAAUAACGUCCCAGUUCGGAUUGUAGUCUGCAACCCGACUACAUGAAGCUGGAAUCGCUAGUAAUCGCGGAUCAGAAUGCCGCGGUGAAUACGUUCCCGGGUCUUGUACACACCGCCCGUCACACCAUGGGAGUCGGAAAUGCCCGAAGUCUGUGACCCAACCUACGGGAGGGAGCAGCCGAAGGCAGGUCGGAUGACUGGGGUGAAGUCGUAACAAGGUACC
rnacentral:rRNA from 1 species